CUUGUUUUUCAUUUUAAUUAACAUUUUAUGUGCCUCCUCACUUGCAACCAAAAUUGAGGUUAGAAAUGUACGUUAUCUCUGCAUUGCUUGGUGGCCUUAUUUUUCAACAUACACUCGUAUUGCUCACAUUCUACUACUCAUGGGCAUAGGGCCCCUAAUCUAAUUCAGUUUAUGCAACCAGUGUUUUUUCUCACAUUUUACCCUGUUAAUCCUUGACAAUCCAGCACUAGCAG